AUGAUCUCGUUGUUUCUAAGGGGGAAUAGGUUAUCAGGUAGAAUCCCAACGACACUUAUAAACAAUUCUGCCCUUGCAAUUAUGGACUUGAAUUCGAAUUUUCUACAAAUGGAAUUGCCAUCUAACAUUGGCGAUACUCUUCCUAAUCUCUGGGCACUUAGCUUGAGCGACAACAUGUUCGAAGGUCAAUUUCCAGCCUCCCUAGGCAACGCUUCUUUCCUGUCUAUAAUAUAUUUAGCAUCAAACAAUUUUACCGGCCAACUUCCGAGUUCUUUAGGAAACCUUCUACACCUAACUGACCUGAAACUCGAUGAAAACAAUUUUGAAGCAAAGGACGAUCAAGGCUGGAAGUUUUUAGAUGCAUUGAGUAAUUGUGGUUCUCUGCAAGUGCUCUCUUUAAAUGACAAUCAGCUCUAUGGACCCAUACCUCAUUCAGUUGGAAAUUUAUCAGCAAGUAUUCAAAGACUUGAAUUCGGUAACAACUACUUGUCAGGGACGGUUCCAUAG
rnacentral:rRNA from 1 species